GUGGAUGAGUGGCGAACGGGUGAGUAACACGUGGGUAAUCUGCCCUGCACUCUGGGAUAAGCCUUGGAAACGGGGUCUAAUACCGGAUAGGACGCAUGGCCGCAUGGUCUGUGUGUGGAAAGUUCCGGCGGUGUAGGUUGAGCCCGCGGCCUAUCAGCUUGUUGGUGGGGUGAUGGCCUACCAAGGCGACGACGGGUAGCCGGCCUGAGAGGGUGACCGGCCACACUGGGACUGAGACACGGCCCAG
rnacentral:rRNA from 1 species